rnacentral:rRNA from 1 species
GUGGAUUAGAUACCCGGGUAGUCCUGGCUGUAAACAUUGGGCACUGGGUAGUGGAACCGCCGAUGGUUUCACUGCCGCAGGGAAACCGUGAAGUGCCCCGCCUGGGGAGUAUGGUCGCAAGGCUGAAACUCAAAGGAAUUGACGGGGGCUCACACAAGCAGUGGAGUAUGUGGCUUAAUUCGAGGCUACGCGAAGAACCUCACCUAGGCUUGACAUGCAAGGAUUAGUCGGCGGAAACGUCGAUGACGCCGCAAGGUGGAACUUGCACAGGUGCUGCACGGCCGUCGUCAACU